ACUGCUAUAAGUGGACAGAGCACUAAAGCAAGGUAGCUCUCUCAAUGGGAAUGAUGUGGACAUUGCGGACUGUGAUGCUCAUGCUAUUCAUAGCAUCUGUUUCCUCCAAACCGUUUCAUUCAUGGAAUCAGAAUAAACACCAGAUCAACAGAGACUUUCAGACAUCUGACUCAGUGGAAUCUGAUGAAUCGAGUGACACAUCAGAUGAGGAUCGUUCAUGGUCAUCAGAGUCAAGCGAGCCUUUAGAAUCCCAUGAAUCAAGUUGGUCUUCCUCCAGUUCUUCUGAAUCAAGAGAAUCUUCAUCUUCAUCCUCUGAGGAGAACAUUCUCACCACUCCCAGUCCAGACAUCAUCAUCAGCCAGGCCACAGAGGAAACGGUCACCACAUCUGGAGAUAUCACCUGUUUCACUGUCCUACAUACAACAGCUGAGCCCAGAGGAGAUAACUAAUGCACUAGUGUGGUUCCUAAAACGGUUAAGUUCACAUGAAUGUUUAGAUUUGCUUCAGAAAUGCACUGAUCUCAUCAAUUUUUUAUGAUCUAAGUUUUACAAAUUCACUUUUUAGCUACUUUUUAAACGUUACUUUAUUUUUUUCUUUGGCUUAAUAUAUUUCUCUUGCACAUGUAUUGUCACUGAAGCCUGUUUUUGCAGAAGUUAAAUGGAAUAUAUGCAUGCUACUGUGUACUGCACUCCACAGUAGCACAUCCUCAGAGAUAUACAAUGCACUUUUGUACAAUGUCUUCAAUAACUUAAAAUAAAAUCCUCAAAGCAUUCAUCAUCAACA
ensembl:lncRNA